UUCAGAUGUAACAGUAAACCAUGGUUUAGCACUAUGGCAGCUUUUGCUAAUCAGGAGCCCUUUCUGCUGUCCUGCCUGGUGCUCAGUGGCGGAGCAAGCCAA